CCUGACUGCUAUUGGAGUGGGACUAAGUCACGCUAGUCAAAGGUGCGGAAUGGAGCACCUGGCGUACGGCUCAGUAACACGUAGUCAACCUACCCUAAGGACGAGGACAACCACGGGAAACUGUGGCUAAUACUCGAUAAGAAAUUCGGCCUGGAACGGUGUCUUUCAAAAAACCGGCUCGCCGUGAGACACGGGCCUUAGGAUGGGGCUGCGGUCGAUUAUGCUAGAUGGCGGUGUAAAGGACCACCAUGGCUAUGAUCGGUAUGGGCGAUGGAAGUCGGAGCCCAGAGUCGGCUACUGAGACGAGGAGCCGAGCUUUACGAAGCUUAGCGGUCGCGAAAACUCGCCAAUGCACGAAAGUGUGAGUGGGCUACUCCAAGUGUCAUUCUUACGGAUGACUGUCGCUCAGUAUUACAAGCUGAGAAAGGAAGGAGAGGGCAAGGCUGGUGCCAGCCGCCGCGGUAAAACCAGCUCUUCGAGUGGUCAGGACGAAUAUUGGGUCUAAAGCGCUCGUAGCCGGACAAGUAGGUUCUUGGUUAAACCCGACAGCAUAACUGUUGGACUGCUGGGAAUACCGCUAGUCUUGGAAGCGGGAGAGGACAGAGGUAGUCAUGGGGCAGGGGUGAAAUCCAGUGAUCCCAUGGCGACCACCGAUGGCGAAGGCAUCUGUCUGGAACGUAUUCGACGGUGAGGGGCGAAAGCUAGGGGAGCGACCCGGAUUAGAUACCCGGUUAGUCCUAGCCGUAAACGAUGCGGACUAGGUGUUACACUGGCCAAGAGCCACUGUAGUGCCACAGUGAAGACGUUAAGUCCGCCACCUGGGGAGUACGGAUGCAAGUCUGAAAC
rnacentral:rRNA from 1 species